AGAGCUGUGGUUACCCUGGUUUCAAAAACCAACUUUUAGAAUUAUGAAAACAUUUGGAAGCUUCAAAACUAAGACUUAGCUAUGAAAGAAUGAUGUGUAUCCUGAUUGUUUGUCACAAAUACUUCACAUCACUUUCUGUGAAGCGUUUCCUGAAUUCCUUAGAAGAUUUGAUGGUGAUUUUAUGGACGAAUUGGUAGACUUAAUUUUUCAAUGGAUAUCAGGUCUAAAACCAAGGAAACAUGCAUGGAAUAAAUAGUGUCUUGAAAGCUGCAAGGAUACCACUGUCAAUCGUGACAGUAAAGGUGCUACUGCUGACAUGCCCACAAGUGAAUCUGCCAGAU